GGAUGUGGGAGGUGGGUGUGACUCUAAAGGGACAGCAUGAGGGACGUCUUUGUGGUGAUGGCACACUUCUUGAUUGGGCUGGUGGUUACAUGAAUAUGCACAUGUGAUAAAAGACAUUUAACUGUAAACACACACAAAUAAGUGUAUGUAAAACUGUGAAAUCUAAAUAGAUUCGGUGGACUUCCAGUUUUGAUACUGUAUUAUAGUUAGUUAAGGUGUUAUCGUUGGGAGAAACUGACUUGAAAGGUACAUGGGACCUUUCUGUCCUAUUUUUGCAACUUUCUGUGAAUCUAUAAUUACUUCUAAAUAAAAAGGUUUUAAAAAUCAAUUUUAUUUCUGUUCAGCAGCAAAAAUCUCAAACUAAAAAAAUUUUUGACAUACUAUUUACAAUAGCUUUAAAAAAAUUAAAGUCUCAGGAAUAAUUCUAAUGAAAAACAUGCAAAUCCUCUACACAGAGAACUUUUUAAAGAUUUAAAAGAGCUGAACAAAUGAAGCGAUAUGCUAUGUUCAUUGAUGGAAGAAUGAAAAAGAUAUCAAUUCACCCCAAACUGAUCUAUGUGGAUUUAAUACAGACACAAUAAAAAUCUUGGCAGGGAGCCAGCGCUGAUGGCCUCGUGGUCAAAGCUCUGCACGCUUGGCUUCAGUGGCCCUGGUUCAGUUCCCAGGUGUGGAACCACACCACUUGUCUGUCCGUAGCCAUGUUGUGGCAGAGGAUCACAUAGAAGGACUAGAAGGACCUAUAACUAGAAUAUACAACUAUGUACUGGGGCUUUGGGGAGGAAAAAGAGGAAAAUUGGCAACAGAUGUUAGCUCAGAGUGAAUCUUUCCCAAGGAAAAAAAAAAUCUUGGCAGGUUUUUUCUCUUUCUUUAUUUUCACCUUUGAUGGAAGUAACAAACUGACUCUAAAAUGUAUAUUGAAGUACAGAUGGUAGGUAUAGUCAAAGUAGUGAUGGAAGAAGAAAAGUUGGAGUAUUUCCAGCCCAGAUAUCAAGACUUAUUGUAAAGUGACAGUGUGGUAUUAAUACAAGAAUAAGCAAAUAGACCAAAGAAGGAAAAUGAAGUUCAGAAAUAAACUCACACAUAUACGGACACGUUAAUUUAUGACAAAAGUCCAGAGUAGUGGGGAAGAGAGUUCUUUUCGGUAAAUAGAACUGGAUCGCUUUUAUAUUCAUAUAUGAAACAAUAAACAUCCACCCAUACCUCACACAGUACACAAAGCCAAUCUGAGAUGACUUGUUCCUGACACGAUUCUCACAUGUUGAGGUCUACAGGGUAACUAUUUGAGUUCAAAACUGAUUCAGCUUGACCUACGAAGCCUGACUUAUGGCCUAUCAAACACACAUUGUACAUCUGCUUAUCCAUUAAAGUAAAGAAUGCACUCUCUUAAGAUAAAAGCUCAUACUUCCCCUCCUAUGCCCUAUUGGUAACGUCCUAUUGGUAAGGCUGGAUUAGUCCCUUUCCUGACAUCAAGGUUAUGUUGACCUGCUAAUUUGCAACUGAACUCUGCUUUGAAAUUUUGAUGAAAAUGUAUCCUGGGUGUGUUAAAUGUAUGUUCUUUGUUCUAAAAAGAUAUAAAACUGUACUGAAACCCUGCUUCUCUGGAACACCUUCUAAGGCCUUCCUGGGUUAUAAUCCUCACUCUGGCUCAUAAGAAACUCACCCCAAUUCUGCGUCAACAUGUGAAAGCCAGCCGCGUGGAAAAGCAGAACACUGGGCCCUCCUCAGAGAAGAGAAUCUCAGCCCAUCAGCUGUGCAACUCUUCUCAAAAUCCAGGCUGAGGAAAAACCAUCUUAAGAAAGAUCAUUGAAAGCAACAUUUCCCAAACAGUGUUCCAGGGAGCACUCUUCUGCCCGAUGUCAAUAGGUCUUCAUGGAGGAAAGAAGUUCCACGGUUGACCAAAUGCACAUUUGCAUAUUGAAGGGUCUGAGAAGGAAAAUGUCAUCAGGACCAACCUGUUUAACUUGGUUCAAGCCAGCCUUUCCUUACGGUAUCUGACUCGAGAACUCUUCCUGGGGGUUUUUACCAGAAGCACACGUAGGAAAUCCACUUCUCUAUUUGUUACACAAUGCUGCUGGAAACAAUCAUCUCUUGUGAUACUUAUUGUCCAAAAUGCUCCAAAAACAAGUGUCCUUCUGACUUUGUGUGGAGGAGUGGUGGGAAGCGGGGCUUUGCUCUUUCUGAUGAGCAGAGCCGUGUAACUUGUUGUUCCCCUUUUGGCUCAAGGAAACUCUGAGUCAAACUUGAUAUUCAGUCUUAGUAAAGAUAUCUUUCUCUGUGAUUAGCAUAUUUUCUUCCUUCCUCUUUCCAUAUUCUUAUUGUUUUGAGUUUAUUUAACCCUCUGUUACUAUUAUCUUUUGGCAAAACCUUUCAAAAACAUUUGAGGAACAGUCAAGGUGGAAAUGUGUUUCAGAGGCAAAACGUGGCCAAGAAAACCUGCCCAGACUGUGACACUGAUGUUGAUAUGUGAUCAUGUAAUAUCCAUGAUCACACAGAUUCAACAACACAGUCAUAGUCUAAUCACACAAUGUGACAAGUUCCCCAGAUAUCAAACCAUUUUUAUUUUCGAUUUCAAUGAGUUUCAAUUGUAAGAAAAUAUUUGGCUCUACAAUUAUCACUACCACGUUCUUGUGCCCUGGUGAAGUAUUUGAUGGCAAAAAGGAAAUCCUUAGGGAAACUAUAGUUUUACGUUUCCAGUUCAUGGGGGAAUGUGGACCACAUUUAACUAACAGAGUAGUUUAGACGUGUUUUAUUUCAAAAUGCAAAUUCAUCAGAGGAGGAGGGGCUGUUCCCUGGGCUUCUCUUGAACACAUUACCACAUACGGCAUGCACACCGAGAUGUUCUUAGGAAAUUUCUUGAGUUGGCUUUUUGAAGUGACAGUGCACAGUCCUGGCUAGUGGGGGAAGGGAAGCAAGGCGUGAAGAAGAGGACUCGUGGCUGAGGCCUUCGUGACAAACAUCUGCGGUCCUUGUCUUAGACUUUAUCUUGAGUUCAACAGACCACAUUCCCCAGGACACUGACUCAUGGGCUGUGGGGCAGAGGAAACUUAAACAUCCGGGAAUAUGAGACUAGUCAAAUAGCUUACAGUGGAACACUACCAAACCAAUAAAACUGAAUUACAUAAAAAUAUUUAACGGCAGCUUUGACGCAGCUUUGAGCACUCGUGAAUUUGGAACAAGAUAUAUUUAAUCUUUCGAUUUAGUCAACAUUUGCCAUCCUCAGUCAGAGACACAGAAACAGAAAAGUUAAAAUUUAUUACUCUGAAUUCAAAAAACUAAAGUAUGAGAGAAAUUUAAAUAAAUGAUGCUAUUUUGUAAAUCUGUAGAUUUCUACUUCUGCCUUUAAAAGAGCUAAAACAGCACGAAGACUUUGGGACACGCUGAGUUAUUUAUUGAACACUGCAGGCUACUAACAGUGUACACGGGGUGUUUCAAAUUUUGUAAAGCAUAACAUAUGUCUAUAUAUUCAUAGAAAAA
ensembl:lncRNA